UUCCUUCCCUUAAAAGCAUUCCUCAGGCCAGAGCAGACAGAGCCGGCCAGCGCGGAGUGGGCCAACAUCUCGGACGUCUCUCGAGGGCGGCAACAGGAGGCGAGCGAGGGCGAGGGCGACCUGCAGGAGGCGAGCGAGCGAGUGUUCAGCGGCGGCUGCUUCCUCGGCGGCGCUGGCGGACCGGGGGGAGGGAGCGGCGCCCGACCCGCGUUCGUGUAGUCUCACACGCUUCACUCACACAUGCCGUUUGAAAUAUUUGCCGCACUGUCUUUAGAAAUUGCUUGGAAGAAUGGUUGACGUAGGCUGUCUAAAUCCCCGUCUUGUUGCCCAAAUGAUAUUGCAGCAAAUUUCAUGCUGAGGUGCAGUUUGGUCUGACAGGGUUUCAUAGUCCAUUUAUUUAAAUGUACCAGGACUCUCUCCUGGUUCAGAGAUGAUCAUGUAUGACAACAAAUCAGUGCGAGCAGCCCAUGAGGCUUUUGUGACAGGACACACUGGUUCAACAGCUAUUGAUGUCAUAUUGGCAAUAUAUCCUGUAAUACCAGCAUCUCUUCUUGCUGCGUGUGUUGUGAAGGGGCGUAUGGGAUGUACUGGCAAACUAUACCCUGGAAGUGAGUGCAGUGCAGAUAUUGCUCGCUGGUUUAGUCCUAAUUUGUACAUCUCAUCCACUACAGGAUUCCUUCCUGAAUAAUUCAAAGCACUUGGCAUGUUUGACUGCAAUGAGAGCUAUAUUGAAUGUAAAUACAGCUGUUGCUAUCUUGGGUGUGGAUUUUCACAGUUUUCCAAGGAGAUUUGCCAAGACAGAGGAAUAUGGAUAUAGCGUAAUGGAUGUGGGAGCUGGAGGGUUUGUUGUUGUGAACGGUUUCGUUGAAGGUCGGAAGAGAAGGUGCUACAAGUCUGUGAUGGUUGAUGCUGUUGUCCUUGCCAUCUUGGGUCUU